rnacentral:rRNA from 1 species
AGAUUGAACGCUGGCGGCAUGCCUAACACAUGCAAGUCGAACGGGAGUAGCAAUACUCUAGUGGCGGACGGGUGAGGAAUACGUAGGAAUUUGCCCUUAAGUGGGGGAUAACCCGGGGAAACCCGGAUUAAUACCGCAUGACCUCGAAAGAGCAAAGUGGGGGAUCGCAAGACCUCACGCUUUUGGAGAAGCCUACGUCGGAUUAGCUAGUUGGUGAGGUAAUGGCUCACCAAGGCGACGAUCCGUAACUGGUCUGAGAGGAUGAUCAGUCACACCGGAACUGAGACACGGUCCGGACUCCGUACGGGACGGCAGCA